rnacentral:tRNA from 1 species
GCGGGAGUGGUGGAAUUGGUAGACACGCUGGAUUUAGGUUCCAGUGCUGAAAGGUGUGAGAGUUCGAGUCUCUCCUUCCGCA